UAACUGGAGGAAGGUGGGGAUGACGUCAAGUCAUCAUGGCCCUUACGGCCUGGGCUACACACGUGCUACAAUGGUCGGUACAGAGGGUUGCCAAGCCGCGAGGUGGAGCUAAUCUCACAAAACCGAUCGUAGUCCGGAUCGCAGUCUGCAACUCGACUGCGUGAAGUCGGAAUCGCUAGUAAUCGCGAAUCAGAAUGUCGCGGUGAAUACGUUCCCGGGCCUUGUACACACCGCCCGUCACACCAUGGGAGUGGGUUGCACCAGAAGUAGCUAGUCUAACCUUCGGGGGGACGGUUACCACGGUGUGAUUCAUGAGAAGUCGUA
rnacentral:rRNA from 1 species